rnacentral:lncRNA from 1 species
CGGUGGGUCGGCCUUCUCUUCUUCCCUGACUUCAACGGGUGCGGGUGCUUCAAUCGGUGGGUCGGCCUUCUCUUCUUCCUUGACUUCAACGGGUGCGGGUGCUUCAGUUUCGACUUUUACUUCAGUUUCAGCAGCAGAAGUGGCAGGUUGGUCUUCCUCUUUCUUUUCCUCGGGAGCUGGUUUAUCUUUAUCUUUGGCAGGAGGGGGUGUGAAUUCGUGCUUGUUAAGGGCUUCUUGAAUAAGUUGCUUAAGCUCAUCAAGAGCCUUCUUUUGUGGGUCAGGAAGUUCACCGGCUAUAUUGGUUUCUUCUUUGAAAGAAGCAGACUCAGUUACCUUAGUGUCCUUAGCUUCAACCUUAGGCUCCUCCUCAACAGCCUCAGCAGGUUUGUCUUCAACAACAGCAUCAGUAGGCUUCUCGGAAGCAGCCUCCUGUUCACUCUCCUUCUCCACCACCACUUCCUCAGCAGGAGCAGGGGGUGCAGCAGCUUCAGGCUUUUGAGUCUCCUCAGCCAUGUAUGAGAUUGUAAA